rnacentral:rRNA from 1 species
AUUGAACGCUGGCGGCAUGCCUUACACAUGCAAGUCGAACGGUAACAGGUCUUCGGAUGCUGACGAGUGGCGAACGGGUGAGUAAUACAUCGGAACGUGCCCAGACGUGGGGGAUAACGAGGCGAAAGCUUUGCUAAUACCGCAUACGAUCUAAGGAUGAAAGCAGGGGACCGCAAGGCCUUGUGCGUUUGGAGCGGCCGAUGGCAGAUUAGGUAGUUGGUGGGAUAAAAGCUUACCAAGCCGACGAUCUGUAGCUGGUCUGAGAGGACGACCAGCCACACGGGGACUGAGACACGGCCAAGACUCCUACGGGAGGCAGCAGGGGGGAAUUUUGGACAAUGGGCGAAAGCCUGAUCCAGCAAUGCCGCGUGCAGGAUGAAGGCCUUCGGGUUGUAAACUGCUUUUGUACGGAACGAAAAGGCUCUGGCUAAUACCUGGGGCACAUGACGGUACCGUAAGAAUAAGCACCGGCUAACUAC